UUUAACCCAUCCAGACUUCCUACAGGCACAGAGCAGCCUAGAAGCAGAACAUGCUGUGCUGACCUCUCCAGGUGGCCAGAGGGCAGUGGGUUUGCAUCACCACAUUUGCCUAACAAUUGACAUUCUACUUGGCACUGUUCGCUUGCUGACUGAGAACCAACAAAGCCAGAUAUCCUAGCACUGCAAGCAGCACACCAGCCUCCUGAAGGAAGCCAGGGCAGUAAGGCUACAAAUAGCUGCCCAUGAAAACACUGGGGUGAAACUGCCAGGGAGAAGAAAACAACUACCCAGAAGCACCCCAAGGACCACUGGGGACGGAAACAGGGAGAGCAAGCUGAGUGGCCAAGACAUUCAUAUGAAGACUGUGACCUAUGGCCCAGCUAAUAAGAGGACCUCUACCCGCCUCAUUGUGAUGUCCAUGACCCUUCUAUUCUAAGAGGAGAGGACCUCUUGAGAGAGAAGAUUCUGGAAUAACUACAGAUAGAAUGGCAACAUUUAACGAGGAUUGUUGAUGCCAAUCAGCAAAAAUCAGGAAGUUGGGAGGAGGAGGAGGGUAAAGGAGAAGGUUGAGUCCAAUCUGGCUCACAGGUAGACAAACUUAGCACACCACUGGAAAGGUAAAACGGAAGCUCCAGAGAAAGAUAUCUGGAGACACGGCCAUUAGAGUCACCUACAGAGAAAUGACAGCUACAACAACAGGACUGAGAAGAAGCCACUCAUGGAUGGUUUGAAACUGGCUUUUCAAGAACGGACAAACAUGCUCAGAAGAAGCCAGUUUGUUUAGUCAAUGACCUUUUGCUGUCAUAAGCUCAAAAAUCCCCUGUGGAUGACAAGAUGACUCCCCUGAAAAGAAACACUCAACCUGUGAAGACGCGUGAUGACCAUCUAUCUACGCCUGCACAAAAGAAUACUAAU
ensembl:lncRNA